rnacentral:rRNA from 1 species
GUCUACAGCUAUGCCACCUGAAUAAGCCCGAUCCCAUCUGACCUCGGAAGUUUAGCAGGGUCGGCCCUGGUUAGUACCAGAGAGACCAUCUAGGAAGACCAGGUGCUAUAGGCG